GUACUGCUGAAGAGUCUCAAACUAGCGGUACGAAACAGCUGUCCAGUAC
rnacentral:hammerhead_ribozyme from 1 species